AUGAGAUCAUCUGCCAUUUCAGGCUGGGCUGAAAGAUCCUCCGGCACAACAAAGCUGGGCCCAGGAGAUAUCCUGCAUGACUCAUCGGUCGGCCACGCAUUGGAGACUUCCGGCCCUCAGAAACCAGACACAGAGAGCCAUUGUCUGCCUUGGAAGCCCCCCGGCAUACCAGGCUCAAUGGGGCUAAGGAAGGUCUUGUACUGGUUUUAGAGCCCUGGACGGAGCUCCAGACGACCUGGGCCUUCCUUGUUCUACCACCGACUUGCUGGGAGUUUCAGCAAGCCUUCACCUUCCGCGUUGGCGUUCUCAGCUCUAAGAAAAGGAAGUUGAUUUCCAUGAGAGGUGAUCAAACUGUGCUGUAGAAACCUCAGCGAUUCCACAGAACAUUAGAGUACCUCUGCGAAGCAGAAUUCUCCACGUGGAGAAACCUCCCCUCUCACUGAUUUUAUAUGCCAUGCAUGUCAAAGCUCUGGGGAAGAUUUUUUUGCUUGAGGAAAAAAAAAGAUUUUUGCUGAUUAAAGAAAAACAACCCCGAAAAGUGCUGACUAUGAUAUCUGUGCAUUUAUUGUGGAAAUCUAGACAGUUUGCACUGAAAUCAGAGAUGUUUCUCAUAGAAUGGGACUAGGAGGAUUCAAGGAAAGAAGACCUGCUUCCUGUUUCCCAGCCCGUAAACCCUUGCUGUUGUUUUCAUGAUUCUUAUGAUCCUUCCUGGGUUGUGAUGAGAGGCUGGCAGGGGAGCCAGCUGCCUUCUGCCUCAGUGCCUAGAGCCAGGCUCAGCCCUGGUGAGGAGGGACAAUCCUGGCUGGGUAGGUCAGGCAGCUAAAAGUCAGGGGUCAGGUCCCCUACUUCAGCGGCCCCUAACCUUCUUGGCACCAGGGAAGACAAAAAUCCGAAGACAAUUUUUCCACAAACUGGAGACAGAGGGAUGGUUUCGGGAUGAUUCAGGCAUUUCUGGUGCACUUUAUUUCUAUUAUUAUUACGUUGUAAUAUAUCAUGAAAUAAUGAUCUAACCAUAAUGUAAACUCAGUGGGAGCCUGAGCUUGUUUGCCUGAAACUAGAUGGUCCCACCUUCAGGGGAUGAGAGACAGUGACAGAUCGUCAGGCAUUAGAUUCUCAUAAGGAGCUCACAACCAAGAUCUCCUGCAUGAGCAAGGGCUCGCAUACACAAUGGGGCUCGCGCUCCCGUGAGAUUCUAACGCGGCCGCUGAUCUGACAGGAGGCGAAGCUCAGGCAGUAGUGCCAGCAAUGGGGAGUGACUGUAAAUACACAUGAAGCUUUGCUGGCCUGCUGCUCACCUUCUGCUAUGCAGCCCAGUUCCUAACAGGCCAGGGAGUGGUACUGGUCUGUGGCCCAGGGGUGGGGAUCCUCCCACUUGGUAUGCCAGGAAAGCCUCUUUCCUCCCCAUGACUUGGGGUCAAUGUGAGAAUUUCUAUCAUGUGAGAUUUACUUCUUUGAA
rnacentral:lncRNA from 1 species